GGGCGGACGGCCAGCGUCGGAGCGCUCCAGCUUGUGAGAGAGCCUGGGCCUCUGAGUGACUGCGUGUACUUUAGGCUGCGCCUUUGCUAGUUUUCUAGAUGUCAGCAAGGUCCAGAAGACUUAGACCACCACAAGAUGCUCCUGCAGAUCUUCAACCUUUUCAGCCCAAGAGGUUGCUUGAAAUGACUGGCCUGGAGAAUUCCAUAUUGGGAAGUCCUGGAGAUCUGCUUGUGCAGGAGUUGAGGGUGGAAGGAUUCUCUUGAGCCAUAAUGACUCCUUACUAGCUGUGAAUCAGUCUCCAUCAGGAAAAGGAAGAAGAAAUCCACAUGUCUUCUCCAAAGACAGUCCAUAAGACUUAAUAGCUCAGGAAUCAGAUCUUAAGGAUUAUUAGGGACAGAUAUACUUCAUACUCCCACAUUUAGUCAUUUCAAAAUACUGUUUUUUCUGACUUUAUCAUUAAAUUAAAUGAAUAAAAUUUAUCACAACA